rnacentral:rRNA from 1 species
CUGCUGCCUCCCGUAGGAGUUUGGGCCGUGUCUCAGUCCCAAUGUGGCCGGUCACCCUCUCAGGUCGGCUACUGAUCGUUGCCUUGGUGAGCCGUUACCUCACCAACCAGCUAAUCAGACGCGGGUCCAUCCCAUACCACCGGAGUUUUUACCCCUGCACCAUGCGGUGCUGUGGUCUUAUGCGGUAUUAGCAGACAUUUCUAUCUGUUAUCCCCUGUAUGGGGCAGGUUACCCACGCGUUACUCACCCGUCCGCCUA